AAUGAACGCUGGCGGCAUGCCUUACACAUGCAAGUCGAACGGCAGCAUGACCUAGCUUGCUAGGUUGAUGGCGAGUGGCGAACGGGAGAGUAAUGCAUCGGAACGUGCCUUUUAGUGGGGGAUAACGUAGCGAAAGUUACGCUAAUACCGCAUAUUCUCUGAGGAGGAAAGCAGGGGACCUUCGGGCCUUGCGCUAGAAGAGCGGCCGAUGUCGGAUUAGCUAGUUGGUGAGGUAAAGGCUCACCAAGGCAACGAUCCGUAGCGGGUCUGAGAGGAUGAUCGGCCACACUGGGACUGAGACACGGCCCAGACUCCUACGGGAGGCAGCAGUGGGGAAUUUUGGACAAUGGGCGCAAGCCUGAUCCAGCCAUGCCGCGUGAGUGAAGAAGGCCUUCGGGUUGUAAAGCUCUUUCGGCUGGGAAGAAAUCGCACCCUCUAAUACAGGGUGUGGAUGACGGUACCAGCAUAAGAAGCACCGGCUAACUACGUG
rnacentral:rRNA from 1 species